rnacentral:rRNA from 1 species
CAGCAGCCGCGGUAAUACGUAGGGUGCGAGCGUUAAUCGGAAUUACUGGGCGUAAAGCGUGCGCAGGCGGUUGUGUAAGACAGGUGUGAAAUCCCCGGGCUUAACCUGGGAACUGCGCUUGUGACUGCACAGCUAGAGUAUGGCAGAGGGGGGUGGAAUUCCACGUGUAGCAGUGAAAUGCGUAGAGAUGUGGAGGAACACCGAUGGCGAAAGCACUCUGCUGGGCCGACACUGACACUGAGAGACGAAAGCUAGGGGAGCAAACAGGAUUAGAGACCCGAGUAGUCCCUGUCUCUUAUAC